UACGGAGGGUGCGAGCGUUGUCCGGAAUCACUGGGCGUAAAGGGCGCGUAGGUGGUUUGAUAAGGGUGUGGUGAAAGCCCGGGGCUCAACCCCGGGUCUGCCGUGCCGACUGUCAAACUCGAGGGCUGUAGAGGCAGACGGAAUUCCGGGUGUAGCGGUGGAAUGCGUAGAGAUCCGGAGGAGACCGGUGGCGAAGGCGGUCUGCUGGGCAGUUCUGACACUGAUGCGCGACAGCGUGGGGAGCAAACAGG
rnacentral:rRNA from 1 species